rnacentral:rRNA from 1 species
ACCCACGUUCGGAUUGCAGGCUGCAACCCGCCUGCACGAAGCCGGAGUUGCUAGUAAUCGCGAAUCAGAAUGUCGCGGUGAAUGCGUUCCCGGGUCUUGUACACACCGCCCGUCACACCAUGGAAGUUGGGGGUGCCCAAAGCCGGCAAGCAAAUAUGCUGUCUAAGGCAAAACCAAUGACUGGGGUGAAGUCGUAACAAGGUACC